GAUGAACGCUGGCGGCGUGCCUAAUACAUGCAAGUCGAGCGAACAGACGAGGAGCUUGCUCCUCUGACGUUAGCGGCGGACGGGUGAGUAACACGUGGAUAACCUACCUAUAAGACUGGGAUAACUUCGGGAAACCGGAGCUAAUACCGGAUAAUAUAUUGAACCGCAUGGUUCAAUAGUGAAAGACGGUUUUGCUGUCACUUAUAGAUGGAUCCGCGCCGCAUUAGCUAGUUGGUAAGGUAACGGCUUACCAAGGCAACGAUGCGUAGCCGACCUGAGAGGGUGAUCGGCCACACUGGAACUGAGACACGGCCCAGACUCCUACGGGAGGCAGCAGUGGGGAAUCUUCGACAAUGGGCGAAAGCUUGUCCAGGCAAGGCGGGUGUGUUGAUGAGGGUCUUCGGUUCUUAAACCCCUUUUAUUAGGGAAGAACAAACGAGAAAAAAACUAUUCACUUCUGGACGUUACCUAAACAGAAAGCACCGGCUAACUCCGUG
rnacentral:rRNA from 1 species